rnacentral:misc_RNA from 1 species
GAUGAAGACGUAGCGAAAUGCGAUAAGUAAUGUGAAUUGCAGAAUUCAGUGAAUCAUCGAAUCUUUGAACGCACAUUGCGCCCGCCAGUAUUCUGGCGGGCAUGCCUGUUCGAGCGACAUUACAACCCUCAGGCCCCCGGGCCUGGCGUUGGGGAUCGGCGGAAGCCCCCUGCGGGCACAACGCCGUCCCCCAAAUACAGUGGCGGUCCCGCCGCAGCUUCCAUUGCGUAGUAGCUAACACCUCGCAACUGGAGAGCGGCGCGGCCACGCCGUAAAACACCCAACUUCUGAAUGUUGACCUCGAAUCAGGUAGGAAUACCCGCUGAACUUAAGCAUAUCAAUAAGCGGAGGA